UGAUAAUGUCAUGGACCUCAUGUAACCAUG
rnacentral:piRNA from 1 species